CUGUUUGGGCUGGUUUAGAUGUUGUCCUGCCGGGCUGCUAUGCUGCUGUCACUAUGCUAUAGCUGUUGUGGUACUAUUUCAGCGGCUACCUACUGGUUGGGUUUUGAGCAGUUGCAGUCCAUCCUUAGUUGUGCUGGGGAGGGAUGUGAUUUUUGCUCACAGUUUAGCAGCUUUUAGCUGAGUGUGGUGCUUCCAAAUGCCCUUGUCUUGGGUCUGCUGUGCCAGGCCUAUGUUGGUUUUGAUAUCUGCUGGUUGGUUUGCUCGGUGUUGUGCUUCAUUUUCGGGGUAUGAUCGGUGAUCCUUUCUGCUUCUGACUUGUGCUGGGCAGCUGUUUUAUAUUGCAACAGCUGGCUGGUUUAGCUUUGUUGGGACUGUGGUCUGCAAAGUGAGGUCUUCACUCAUGUGCUGUUGCAGGCUGCAUUUUUGGUGUUGGGCUGGUGAAUGCUAUUUUAUUGGCAGUUGGUUUCUCGUCAUAUAGGUUGUUGCAGUUGCACUAACCGGUCUCAAGCAAAUUGUUGUUUGUUUAUUGUUGUUG
rnacentral:lncRNA from 1 species